GCCGAGGUAGCUCAGUUGGUAGAGCAGUGGUUUUGUAAACCAUUGGUCGCAGGUUCAAAUCCUGUCCUCGGCU
rnacentral:tRNA from 2 species